AGCGAACGCUGGCGGCAGGCCUAACACAUGCAAGUCGAACGAACCUUUCGGGGUUAGUGGCGGACGGGUGAGUAACACGUGGGAACGUGCCUUUAGGUUCGGAAUAACUAAGGGAAACUUAUGCUAAUACCGAAUGUGCCCUUCCGGGGAAAGAUUUAGCGGCUUUAGAGCGGCCCGCGUCUGAUUAGCUAGUUGGUUGAGGUAAUGGCUCACCAAGGCGACGAUCAGUAGCUGGUCUGAGAGGAUGAUCAGCCACAUUGGGACUGAGACACGGCCCAGACUCCUACGGGAGGCAGCAGUGGGGAAUCUUGCGCAAUGGGCGAAAGCCUGACGCAGCCAUGCCGCGUGAAUGAUGAAGGUCUUAGGAUUGUAAAAUUCUUUUACCGGGGACGAUAAUGACGGUACCCGGAGAAGAAGCCCCGGCUAACUUCGUG
rnacentral:rRNA from 1 species